rnacentral:rRNA from 1 species
GCUAACUACGUGCCUGCAGCCGCGGUAAUACGUAGGGGGCAAGCGUUGUCCGGAAUUAUUGGGCGUAAAGCGCGCGCAGGCGGUCUCUUAAGUCUGAUGUGAAAGCCCACGGCUCAACCGUGGAGGGUCAUUGGAAACUGGGGGACUUGAGUGUAGGAGAGGAAAGUGGAAUUCCACGUGUAGCGGUGAAAUGCGUAGAUAUGUGGAGGAACACCAGUGGCGAAGGCGACUUUCUGGCCUAUAACUGACGCUGAGGCGCGAAAGCGUGGGGAGCAAACAGGAUUAGAUACCCUGGUAGUCCACGCCGUAAACGAUGAGUGCUAGGUGUUAGGGGUUUCGAUGCCCUUAGUGCCGAAGUUAACACAUUAAGCACUCCGCCUGGGGAGUACGACCGCAAGGUUGAAAAUCAAAGCCAUUGACGGGGGCCCGCACAAGCAGUGGAGCAUGUGGUUUAAUUCGAAGCAACGCGAAGAACCUUACCAGGUCUUGACAU